AUUGAACGCUGGCGGCAGGCCUAACACAUGCAAGUCGAACGGUAACAGGAAACAGCUUGCUGUUUCGCUGACGAGUGGCGGACGGGUGAGUAAUGUCCGGGAAACUGCCUGAUGGAGGGGGAUAACUACUGGAAACGGUAGCUAAUACCGCAUAACGUCGCAAGACCAAGAGGGGGACCCUCGGGCCUCUUGCCAUCGGACGUGCCCAGAAUGGAUCAGCUUGUUGGUGGGGUACAGGCUCACCAAGGCGACGAUCCCUAGCUGGACUGAGAGGGUGACCAGCCACACUGGAAGUGAGACACGGUCCAGAAUCCUACGGGAGGCGACGGUGGGGAAUAUUGCACAAUGGGCGCAGACCUGAUGCAGCCAUACCGCGUGUAUGAAGAAGGCCUUCGGGUUGUAGAGUACUUUCGUCGGGAAGGAAAGGAAUAAAGUUAAUACCUUUGCUCAUUGACGUUACCCGCAGAAGAAGCACCGGCUAACUCCGUG
rnacentral:rRNA from 1 species